CCCUUAGAUGUUCUGGGCCGCACACGCGCUACACUGAAGGAGGCAGCGUGUACUCCUGGAUCGAAAGAUUUGGGUAACCCGCGAAUCUCCUUCGUGCUAGGGAUUGAGGUUUGCAAUUAUCCUUCAUGAACGAGGAAUUCCCAGUAAGUGCAAGUCAUAAGCUUGCGCUGACUACGUCCCUGACCUUUGUACACACCGCCCGUCGCUACUACCGAUUGAAUGAUUUAGUGAGGACUUCGGACUGGGACCGAUGCGGCUUUCGGGCUGCGUCGGUAUUCUGGAAAGAUGUCCAAACUGUAUCAUUUAGAGGAAGUAAAAGUCGUAACA
rnacentral:rRNA from 1 species